rnacentral:rRNA from 1 species
UACGUAGGCAGCAAGCGUUGUUCGGAGUUACUGGGCGUAAAGAGUGCGUAGGUGGUGCCCUAAGUCUGUUGUGAAAUCUCCCGGCUUAACUGGGAGGGUGCGGUGGAAACUGGGGUGCUUGAGUGUGGGAGAGGUAAGCGGAAUUCCUGGUGUAGCGGUGAAAUGCGUAGAUAUCUGGAGGAACACCGGUGGCGAAGGCGGCAUCCUGGACCGAUACUGACACUGAGGAGCGAAAGCCAGGGGAGCAAACGGG